CCUACGGGUGGCUGCAGUGGGGGAUAUUGCACAAUGGGGGGAACCCUGAUGCAGCGACGCCGCGUGGGUGAAGAAGCGCCUCGGCGCGUAAAGCCCUGUCAGCAGGGAAGAAAAUGACGGUAACUGAAGAAGAAGCCCCGGAUAACUACGUGCCAGCAGCCGCGGUAAUACGUAGGUGGCAACCGUUGUCCGGAUUUACUGGGUGGAAAGGGCGUGUAGACGGGCUGACAAGUACGAGGUGAAAGCCGGGGGCUUAACCCCCGAAUUGCAUUUGAAACUGUUGGUCUUGAGUAUCGGAGAGGCAGGCGGAAUUCCUAGUGUAGCGGUGAAAUGCGUAGAUAUUAGGAGGAACACCAGUGGCGAAGGCGGCCUGCUGGACGACAACUGACGGUGAGGCGCGAAAGCGUGGGGAGCAAACAGGAUUAGAUACCCGUGUAGUC
rnacentral:rRNA from 1 species